rnacentral:rRNA from 2 species
GGCGACGAUCAGUAGCUGGUCUGAGAGGACGACCAGCCACACUGGGACUGAGACACGGCCCAGACUCCUACGGGAGGCAGCAGUGGGGAAUUUUGGACAAUGGGCGAAAGCCUGAUCCAGCAAUGCCGCGUGUGUGAAGAAGGCCUUCGGGUUGUAAAGCACUUUUGUCCGGAAAGAAAUCCUUGGCUCUAAUACGGUCGGGGGAUGACGGUACCGGAAGAAUAAGCACCGGCUAACUACGUGCCAGCAGCCGCGGUAAUACGUAGGGUGCGAGCGUUAAUCGGAAUUACUGGGCGUAAAGCGUGCGCAGGCGGUUUGCUAAGACCGAUGUGAAAUCCCCGGGCUCAACCUGGGAACUGCAUUGGUGACUGGCAGGCUAGAGUAUGGCAGAGGGGGGUAGAAUUCCACGUGUAGCAGUGA